rnacentral:tRNA from 1 species
UCACGCCUCGGUAGCUCAGUGGUAGAGCUCCUUUAUGUCACGAGCGAGAGCGCCUAGCAAUAACUAUGAGGAGGUCGAAGGCUCGAAUCCUGCCCGGUGGCUAGAC